GAUGAACGCUGGCGGCGUGCCUAAUACAUGCAAGUCGAGCGAACAGAUGAGGAGCUUGCUCCUCUGACGUUAGCGGCAGACGGGUGAGUAACACGUGGAUAACCUACCUAUAAGACUAGGAUAACUUCGGGAAACCGGAGCUAAUACCGGAUAAUAUAUUGAACCGCAUGGUUCAAUAGUGAAAGACGGUUUUGCUGUCACUUAUAGAUGGAUCCGCGCCGCAUUAGCUAGUUGGUAAGGUAACGGCUUACCAAGGCAACGAUGCGUAGCCGACCUGAGAGGGUGAUCGGCCACACUGGAACUGAGACACGGUCCAGACUCCUACGGGAGGCAGCAGUAGGGAAUCUUCCGCAAUGGGCGAAAGCCUGACGGAGCAACGCCGCGUGAGUGAUGAAGGUCUUCGGAUCGUAAAACUCUGUUAUUAGGGAAGAACAAAUGUGUAAGUAACUAUGCACGUCUUGACGGUACCUAAUCAGAAAGCCACGGCUAACUACGUG
rnacentral:rRNA from 1 species